rnacentral:rRNA from 1 species
UACGUAGGGUGCAAGCGUUAAUCGGAAUUACUGGGCGUAAAGCGUGCGCAGGCGGUUUUGUAAGUCUGUCGUGAAGCCCCGGGCUCAACCUGGGAAUUGCGAUGGAGACUGCAAGGCUUGAAUCUGGCAGAGGGGGGUAGAAUUCCACGUGUAGCAGUGAAAUGCGUAGAGAUGUGGAGGAACACCGAUGGCGAAGGCAGCCCCCUGGGUUAACACUGACGCUCAGGCACGAAAGCGUGGGGAGCAAACAGG